rnacentral:rRNA from 1 species
ACAGCCCUACGGGGGGCAGCAGUGGGGGAUAUUGCACAAUGGGGGAAACCCUGAUGCAGCGACGCCGCGUGAGUGAAGAAGUAUUUCGGUAUGUAAAGCUCUAUCAGCAGGGAAGAAAAAAGACGGUACCUGACUAAGAAGCCCCGGCUAACUACGUGCCAGCAGCCGCGGUAAUACGUAGGGGGCAAGCGUUAUCCGGAUUUACUGGGUGUAAAGGGAGCGUAGACGGCCAGACAAGUCAGAAGUGAAAGCCCAGGGCUCAACCCCGGGACUGCUUUGGAAACUGCCAUGCUAGAGUGCCGGAG